CUCUGCCUCUCUCUCUCCCUUGCUUCUCUUCCUUUCUUUCCCGGAGCCGCACCCAAGCCCCCACCCCAUGUACCCCUUACCCCUACCUCUGGGGGACCAGCCGACACCCCAUACUCCCCUACUGCAGGAGAGUUUAGGGGGGGCUGAGAGCUUGGAGAGCCAGGAGAGGGGGCUCAGAGGAAGAGGAAACACUCAGGAAGGGAUGGAGAGAUGGACAGAACUGAAUAAAGAAUGCCUGUCGGGAGGAACACGGAGAGACGCAGAGGACUAUGAAAGGCCAGGAGCCGGAGACCCGUGGGCCUGGUGAGCUGCACAGACCUCUGCACUCAGUGGGAUUCCCAACAGGCCUUGCUCCAAGCUCCCAGGGUUACUCUGAGGUCUGCCUAUGUUGCGGAGCAGAGCUCUGAAUUCUCAGCCUGCCUUAAUUAGCUGUGGGACUGUCCAGGAUUCCAGGGACUCACGGAUCCUAUACUGCUAAAGUCACUGAAGACUCUGCCUGGCACGGGCCCUGGGUCGUUCUUCUAAGUCACCUCCUUAGACCCAGCAAUGCAAGGCUUGUCCCCCACAAGUGAGCUCUAGCUCCUGAGAUCUUCGGGGCUCCUGCACGGGGAGUAUAGGAGUCUGUCCUCAUCACCUCCGUGAUGUAGCAUGUGGAGGGCUACAAGUGACUGCAAUUGGCCACGGGGACUGCAAGGCCAGAGUGGCGUUCCUGGUUCCAACAGCUGAUAAGCCUGUCACCGAUACCACAGUUAGACCUACGCUGGCUUCUCUGCUUCAGGAACACCCUCCCAAAGAUGUCCCAGAGGCCCUGCGUGCAUCAUCUAUCCUCUCUGUCCUCUGACCACAUUCUUUGCAGCCUCACACUUGGGCUGAUAACGCUUGUGCCUCUGAGGCCUCCGAAGUUCUGCUUCUCAGCAUCUCCGGGCCUCCUAUAGGAGACAUCCCAGGGUGGAGCAGGGUGCUGCAGUAAUAAAUGGAUGGAUCUGGAU
rnacentral:lncRNA from 1 species